rnacentral:tRNA from 1 species
GGGAUGGUGGCGCAGUUGGCUAGCGCGUAGGUCUCAUAAUCCUGAGGUCGAGAGUUCGAGCCUCUCUCAUCCCA